CAAUGACCCUACAUUAGGACCGUUUUCAAGAUCUUCGCACGUUGGGGUAUGUGGCGCUUAGUUGUACUAAAUUAUACAUUAGAUCGUACAUCUAUACUAACUGCACAUUAAAUCACCAAUCAACCACUAAUCGACUGCCGCAUAUUUAAACUAGCAUAAGUGCACUGCGAAUUCGACAAUUUGC
rnacentral:sRNA from 1 species